GCGAGCGGCGGAUGGGUGAGUAACACGUGGGGAACCUGCCCCUAAGUCUGGGAUACCAUUUGGAAACAGGUGCUAAUACCGGAUAAUAAAGCAGAUCGCAUGAUCAGCUUUUGAAAGGCGGCGUAAGCUGUCGCUAAGGGAUGGCCCCGCGGUGCAUUAGCUAGUUGGUAAGGUAACGGCUUACCAAGGCGACGAUGCAUAGCCGAGUUGAGAGACUGAUCGGCCACAUUGGGACUGAGACACGGCCCAAACUCCUACGGGAGGCAGCAGUAGGGAAUCUUCCACAAUGGACGCAAGUCUGAUGGAGCAACGCCGCGUGAGUGAAGAAGGUUUUCGGAUCGUAAAGCUCUGUUGUUGGUGAAGAAGGAUAGAGGUAGUAACUGGCCUUUAUUUGACGGUAAUCAACCAGAAAGUCACGGCUAACUACGUGCCAGCAGCCGCGGUAAUACGUAGGUGGCAAGCGUUGUCCGGAUUUAUUGGGCGUAAAGCGAGCGCAGGCGGAAAAAUAAGUCUAAUGUGAAAGCCCUCGGCUUAACCGAGGAACUGCAUCGGAAACUGUUUUUCUUGAGUGCAGAAGAGGAGAGUGGAACUCCAUGUGUAGCGGUGGAAUGCGUAGAUAUAUGGGAAGAACACCAGUGGCGAAGGCGGCUCUCUGGUCUGCAACUGACGCUGAGGCUCGAAAGCAUGGGUAGCGAACAGGAUUAGAUACCCUGGUAGUCCAUGCCGUAAACGAUGAGUGCU
rnacentral:rRNA from 1 species